AACGCACAUUGCGCCUCUCGGUAUUCCGGGAGGCACGCCUGUUCGAGCGCCAUUACACACUCCAAGCGCGGCUUGAUGUUGGGCGUCGCGUCCUGGGAGGGGCGCGUGCCUGGAACGUGUUGGCGGCGGCCGUGGGAGCGCGAGCGUAGCAAGACAGUUUCCGUCAUCGCUCGCGGCGACCGCGGUCGGCCUUUUGCCCUUCUCGAUGCGUGCCGUGAAAGGUGCGUAGGUAACAGAGUUUGGCCUCGAAUCAGGCGGGGAUACCCGCUGAACUUAA
rnacentral:misc_RNA from 1 species